ACAGGGUUAGGUCGGUGGGAGAGAGACAGAGAGCGACAGGGUUAGGUCGGUGGGAGAGAGACAGAGAGCGACAGGGUUAGGUCGGUGGGAGAGAGAGACAGAGAGCGACAGGGUUAGGUCGGUGGGAGAGAGAGACAGAGAGCGACAGGGUUAGGUCGGUGGGAGAGAGAGAGAGAGCGACAGGCUUAGGUCGGUGGGAGAGAGAGACAGAGAGCGACAGGGUUAGGUCGGUGGGAGAGAGAGACAGAGAGCGACAGGGUUAGAUCGGUGGGAGAGAGAGACAGAGAGCGACAGGGUUAGGUCGGUGGGAGAGAGAGACAGAGAGCGACAGGCUUAGGUCGGUGGGAGAGAGAGACAGAGAGCGACAGGGUUAGGUCGGUGGGAGAGAGAGACAGAGAGCGACAGGGUUAGAUCGGUGGGAGAGAGAGACAGAGAGCGACAGGGUUAGGUCGGUGGGAGAGAGAGACAGAGAGCGACAGGGUUAGGUCGGUGGGAGAGAGACAGAGAGCGACAGGGUUAGGUCGGUGGGAGAGAGAGACAGAGAGCGACAGGGUUAGGUCGGUGGGAGAGAGAGACAGAGAGCGACAGGGUUAGGUCGGUGGGAGAGAGAGACAGAGAGCGACAGGCUUAGGUCGGUGGGAGAGAGAGACAGAGAGCGACAGGGUUAGGUCGGUGGGAGAGAGAGACAGAGAGCGACAGGGUUAGAUCGGUGGGAGAGAGAGACAGAGAGCGACAGGGUUAGGUCGGUGGGAGAGAGAGACAGAGAGCGACAGGCUUAGGUCGGUGGGAGAGAGAGACAGAGAGCGACAGGGUUAGGUCGGUGGGAGAGAGAGACAGAGAGCGACAGGGUUAGAUCGGUGGGAGAGAGAGACAGAGAGCGACAGGGUUAGGUCGGUGGGAGAGAGAGACAGAGAGCGACAGGGUUAGGUCGG